UCCUACGGGAGGCAGCAGUGGGGAAUAUUGGACAAUGGGCCACAAGCCUGAUCCAGCAAUUCUGUGUGCACGAUGAAGGUCUUCGGAUCGUAAAGUGCUUUCAGUUGGGAAGAAGAAAGUGACGGUACCAACGGAAGAAGCGACGGCUAAAUACGUGCCAGCAGCCGCGGUAAU
rnacentral:rRNA from 1 species